GCUCAGUAAACUAACCUUCUUUCUUGCUGUGUGUCCUACUAGUGAAGUGUCUCCGACUUGACAGGUCACGAUUCUGAGAAGAUGGGCUUGUGUGUUAAAAACCCACUCGUCUGAUGAGAUGCUAUUUAUACCAACACUAAGUGGUAAAUUUUAGUACUAAGCUAUUAUAUGGACAUAAAAAUAUAUUUAGAUCUAUCACUACAAGCAGUCUUCCGUAAAAUAAUUUAUUGCUAUGGUAUUGAAAAAGACGAAGAGAUUUGGGUCCCGAACAGAAACCUGAUAUGCUAUGCAAGGGAUAAGGAUACGUUUUAGGCCCCAGUGUAGCAGCCGCUGCUUGCAUAUUUGAUAAAAUUCUGUGGAUUCUGUGUCACCUACUAGAAGGUCACAAUAUUACACUUAAGAAGCAUACAUAAAUAGUGUCCCAUCUCUCAUGAAAACGUUUAACUUUUUUAUAAUGUGAAAAGUAGACUUAACAUGAUUAUAAAAGAAGGUGAGCGCUGUCUAUAAUUUUUUCUCUUGUGUCUGUAACAUCAUGUUCAGUGACUGGAGAAAAAUUCGGUCUCAUUGAUCAGUUGUUUUAAUUAUUAUGUCCCAUAUGUAGGUGGAACAAGCUGAUGAGGUG
rnacentral:misc_RNA from 1 species